CCUACGGGAGGCUGCAGUGGGGAAUAUUGCACAAUGGGGGAAACCCUGAUGCAGCGACGCCGCGUGAGUGAAGAAGUAUCUCGGUAUGUAAAGCUCUAUCAGCAGGGAAGAAACUGACCUUACCUGACUAAGAAUCCCCGUCUAACUACGUGCCAGCAGCCGUGGUUAUACGUAGGGGGCAAGCGUUAUCCGGAUUUACCGGGUGUAAAGGGAGCGUAGGCGGCCAGACAAGUCUGAAGUGAAAGGCCAGGGCUCAACCCGGGGACUGCAUUGGGAACCGGCGGGCUGGAGUGCAGGGAAGGUAGGCGGAAUUCGUAGUGUAGCGGUGAAAUGCGUAGAUAUGAGGAGGAACCCCGGUGGCGAAGGCAGCUUGCUGGAGUGGAACUGACGUUGAGGCUCGAAAGCGUGGGGAGCGAACAGGAUUAGAUACCCGGGUAGUC
rnacentral:rRNA from 1 species